rnacentral:rRNA from 1 species
AUUGAACGCUGGCGGCAGGCCUAACACAUGCCAGACGAGCGGAUGAAGGGAGCUUGCUCCUGGAUUCAGCGGCGGACGGGUGAGUAAUGCCUAGGAAUCUGCCUGGUAGUGGGGGGUAACGUCCGGAAACGGGCGCUAAUACCGCAUACGUCCUGAGGGAGAAAGUGGGGGAUCUUCGGACCUCACGCUAUCAGAUGAGCCUAGGUCGGAUUAGCUAGUUGGUGGGGUAAAGGCCUACCAAGGCGACGAUCCGUAACUGGUCUGAGAGGAUGAUCAGUCACACUGGAACUGAGACACGGUCCAGACUCCUACGGGAGGCAGCAGUGGGGAAUAUUGGACAAUGGGCGAAAGCCUGAUCCAGCCAUGCCGCGUGUGUGAAGAAGGUCUUCGGAUUGUAAAGCACUUUAAGUUGGGAGGAAGGGCAGUAAGUUAAUACCUUGCUGUUUUGACGUUACCAACAGAAUAAGCACCGGCUAACUUCGUG